AUUCAAAUAAAUAACAAUUAUGUUCACUAGUUUAUUUUCAUUCAAGUUAACUUCUAACGAUGUCCAAUGUGUAAGGUUUAUGCACCCUUGGUGCUUUAUUUAUCCAAAGAAGAAAACUUGCACUCAAAACUGGCAAGGACAAUGUUGCAACAAUUGACUAGUAAAGUGUAGCUUAGAGGAUUGAGCUAAGAAAAAAAAAAAAAAAGAGGCCCCAAGGUUUGGAUUACAUCCACCAAAAUCGAGAAUGAAAGAACGACCUGAAUUGAAGCCACUCAAGUAAGCUUCAUUACAUAGAAGGCGGGUAAGCCAAAUGGAUCCUUUCUACUCUGGUUUGCAAUUACCAUUUUAUCAAUUAAUAAAAUCAUACCCUUCUGACCUACUUCAUUCUACUUAAACUUGGUAAACCUUUCUUGUCGUUGUUAACCAUUAAGGUCAUCCAUGAGUGUGUCUGCACAGUUGAUCAUCCAGGAAAUAUACACACUGCCACACGUGUGUGCGUGUCACAUAUGUUACACAAAUAAUCUCCACAGCGAUUAACAAUCAGCCAGACACUCUAAACAUUAAGAGCAUUCGCAUUACUCUUUUUAACUAAUGUGAAUGUCAUGGUCUCAUUUAAAUUUUAUCAAGCCAAUUUCAGACUUUAGAUAUUGUGUCGUCUUUCAAGGAUGUUUAUCCCACAUUAAGUCUUUAGAUAUUGUGCUGUCUUUCAAGGAUGUUUAUCCCACAUUAAGUC
rnacentral:lncRNA from 1 species